UACCUAUAUAGGACGAGAAUUAAUUGCGGCACGUGACUGAUCCUUCACUGGUUUGAUUUGGUCAGGUCAAAAGGAUACGAUGGAUCGAGUCAUCAGCCAAUGUAUGCCAUAUCUUACGUACGUGCAUAGUACUUAGCUAGCUGUAAUUUGUCUUUAGGUUUUCUCUGCCGAUCGUAUAUAUCUAAGCAAAAUACUUUGUAUGCAUCCUCUUAGAGUAAGAAAAGAGUCGACCAGAGAGAAACUGGUCAAAAGUCGAUAUACAUUUCGUCCCUUGGUUGACACGAAAGUAAAUGCAUGAUAAUUCAUGCUUCCCUUGGCAAAGGGCCUAUCCUUUUCAAUUUUUGUUAUGCCAAUUCCACUCCUCUUAUCUUAUUUUGAUACCAAGGUAUUAAAUAACUUCAUGCUUUGUUUUCUGACUAUUGCAUUUUGCAUCAUUUAAUUUGCGAGUAAAUACAAAAAGGACACUAAAUCUGAGCAACUUGUACAAUGUACAUAACGUUGACUGCUAAUUGGCGGACGUCCGUCCAAAACCUACUACAGGGCUGUCAUUUUUUUUGUCAUUUUCUGCUUGUUGACUUAUAAUUUUUUGGAGCUUUCAAUUUUUAUUUUUCAAACCUUAACCUUUUAUUUUCUGAUUCGAAGGUUUUAAUUUUCAACUUUUAAUUUUUCAAUUUUAUCUUUUAGUUUUGAACUAUUCAUCUUCCAUAAAUAAAAGUAAAAAAGAAGAAAAAAAAACUUACCUCCUUCAGCGUGCGUCGGAGAGGCGAGGGCAACCGCGGUGGCGUGGGCGGCGUGCGGGGAGGACCUCCGCGAGGGAGGAGGCCGCUAACAUAUUGACUAACAUCCUAUUCGGAUUCAAACAAGCUAACUAUACUAGUUCACAACUAACUCCUAGUACUAGAUUGAUUACAAUUCUAACACUUGUACGUGUACUGAAUUGAUUAGACAAGAUUAAUCCAACACAUGAUGGCAACGGCGUGGCAAGUGAGGCAGGAGCGCGGCGGCUACGACACAGUCAGCGAGUGGCACAUGGCGGCACUUCCUGGCCGGCGACGUGCACGCCGACAACGCAACGUACUUCACUGGGGUGCGGCUGCAUCGGUUGCUCUACUUGCUCCAAGGAGUACAUCCCAAGGAUCGAGCCUAACCAGCUCAUACCAUACUCUUGAGUCUUGAAUCUUGUCCACUUUAAUUUCCCGCAAAUAAAAAUAAGAAAAAAAAAUACUCUUGAGUCUUGUCCACUUUAAUUUCCCACAAAUAAAAAUAUGAAAAAUACUCUUCUCCACUUUUAAGACCCGCAGAAAACAACCGUGGGAGACUUAAGAAUGACAGGACAGCCUAACUCAGAUGGUGUGGUUCCUUGUGGUGGAACCAAUCUAUUCAAGUUCAAAUCUUAAACUUGAAAUGGGUGCUCACAUUACCUGGAUUUAAUCCAGGAUUUAACAUGCGCUUUACUUUCAGUGGUAGGUGACGUACCCGUCAACAGCGAGUGCCUGUGGUGAUUUCGUCGAUCUCUCAAAACCCGCCGACCCGACUCGGUCUCUCGCAGGUGCUCAUAGGGUAGGCUGUGCCUGCGUGCGUUCAUAGGGGUGAGUGUUCACGCGUGUUUGUGAGCGUCUGUGUUUGUACUGUGUUUCUUAAAAAAAAUAGCAGGACACGUGAC
rnacentral:lncRNA from 1 species